AUAGUGGUUCAAAUGAAUUUGGGGCCUGGAACUUGAACCCUCUUCAUUUUUUUGCGGUAUGCUGAGAACAGCCCAGGCUGACGCUCUGGCUCUGACGAUGUAAUUUUACUUGAAAAUUACUUGAAAUCCUUAUCAUAACCCACUUACAGCCACUGAGUUAGAAGUAGCCUACUGACAUAAAAAUUAAACAAGUCAAUAAUCUGUGGAAGGGGCAGGGCUCGAAAAACUCCAGCCAAUGAUUUUAAGAACAACCGAGUGGCAUUGGACAGUAAGUACGUCAAUCAAACGGUCGUACUGCACUACCCCGCUCCCCGCGAGUGACCCCUUCGUGCACGUGCACGUACUCAAAGCUCGUGACCCAGAGCAAGCUUCUGUUGGUUGUUAUCCUGAGGUAGCUACUGGAGCUAGCUAACUAGCUAAUCCACAUUUGGACCUAGCACUAAAAGACAACCCUAAACUCCAACCUAGCUAGCCUGGCUCACUCUCGCACAUCUGUGUUCGCGCUCGUGCGUGAUUGCGUGUCCAUGUACUUGGAAUGGGUGGAGUCAGAGUCAGCGUUGAAGGAGAAGGGGUAGGACCAGAGCUAUAGAGAGAGAGAGUUGCGACACGCUAUGAUCUCGCCGACAGGGUGGUCACGUGGUUGUCACGUGGUUCAUGUAAGCCUCAAUAGUUCCAAACACGCCGCGCAGUCAAUGUUAUUCUAUGGGACGACAGCAGAGAUUUCGAUAUUGAAUGGUAAAUAUGAAUGAAAAAAACACAUACAAGUAUUUGUCUGAGUGUUAUGGCAUUAUUGCAUAUUUGUUAAUGUCAGUUUUACAUUUAGAGUGGCCAUGUCCCAAUACAGUUUUAAGGUAGCUUAAGGGGUAAGGGGGAGGGCUAACAUCCCCUCAAAAUUGAGAUUUUCGAUGGGCACCCUCAAAGCGCUUCAGUUGUGACUUGCUCCCACAAUACCUUGCGAGAAAACGGAAAAUCAAGAAAUAUCCUAGACAAGAUGGAGGGCGAAAAGAUGCGACAGGAUUGGAAAAACCCAAAUGUAAGUGUUUUCUCUGUAAUUAACCAGUAAUUAUUUUAUUAAUUAUACUCUGCAGCCCGGCCGUGGACUCUCGGAAGAUCGCGAAAGUCCGCGGCCGACUUUCGCGGAAGAUCGCGAGGCCGACUUUCGCGGGCCGCCCGACCCCGGUUCUCGGCCGGCAGCCCGGCCAUCGACCGGGCUCUGCAGCCCGGCCGUCGACCGGGCUCUGCAGACCGGGCUGCAUAUCAUGUCGUAUGAUAUCCAGAUCUUCCAUGUUCUAGUGACUCCAGGACUUCGUUGAGUCCACUGCCACCAGCCCCC
ensembl:lncRNA